rfam:Oryza barthii chromosome 5, whole genome shotgun sequence.
UAGUAUGGUUUCACGAUGAAUGGGUUCACCCAUGAUAUAGCAUGGUUGUUCCACUUAGAACGAGGACGUACCAUCCUAUUAUCAGCCAUCGCACAAAAUUAAUAGGAUGCCACAUCCUCAACCUAAGUGGAAUAACCACGUCAUUUCAUAGGUGAAUCUAUUCAUUAAUAGUGUAGUU